UGUUCUUGCCUGCUCCCAAACUCGCCU
rnacentral:piRNA from 1 species